UAUGUAUGUGCAUCACACACGCAGGAUUGUUUUCAGCAAAAACGGAACGCGAGUGAGCGCGCGCUAGUCGCGCAGCAGUAUUGCGUUGGAGAGCACGAUGGGAAGAAAAAUUUAACGUCAUCCUCCAAUGUCAUCAAUGCUGCGGGUGACUAGUAAACGAAAGCUAUAAUCAGUUCUCUUUGACUGCGUGCUGGCCUAUAUAUCGUUGAUUUUACGGUUAUCAGCUGCGCAGCUUCGUUUUCGACUUUGUCGUUAGUAGUACCAGCUAAACGGACGUGUGUGUUGUUGCAAAACUAUUAUUGUUGUUUUAUGGUCGGUUAGUUGUGUGUACGCGGGUGAUGUUGGAUGUCUCUCAUGCAAAUGUUGUUACUUCCUAAUAGUACGAAAUAAUGUUGGUGCCCGUGGACACUGGAUCUCGUGAGUGAUCCAAACUUGAGUGGUUUUUACUCAGCAAGUGUCGUGACAACAGCUGCCAAGAUGAGUUCCAUCGCUCUCGAAGAGUACGAGUUGAUGAAAGACUCGAAAUAUCGAGUCUAUGUCUCCUCAGUGGACAAAGCUCUUAAGAGCUUUGAAUACACCAGUGAAUGGGCAGAUUUAAUAUCAGCCCUGGGUAAACUCAAUAAAGUGUUGUUGGGUAAUAUGAAGUUUCCAGUGAUACCAAGAAGAAUAAAGAUAUCUAAGAGACUUGCACAAUGUAUGCACCCAGCUUUGCCCUCGGGUGUUCAUCUCAAAGCUUUGGAAACUUAUGACAUUAUAUUCAAAUGCAUGGGUACAAAUAGAUUGAGUCAUGAAUUGUUCAUUUAUAGUGCAGGUCUCUUUCCUCUCUUGGGUAAUGCAGCAAUGAAUGUAAGGCCACCACUGUUGACUGUCUACGAAACGCAUUUUGUUCCUCUUGGAGAAAGACUGAGGCCAGGCUUAAGUGGUUUUCUUAGUGGAGUACUUCCAGGAUUAGAAGAAGGUUCUGAUCACUUUGACAGGACCAACUCGUUAUUGGAAAAAGUGUGUGAAGGUGUUGGUCCUAAAUACUUUUAUGCCUGCCUGUGGGACUGUUUGGCUUCAAAUUCUAUAAUACGACUGCCAGCCAUAUCUUUUGCAUUAUCGCAUUUCAAUAAAAAGUUACCAAUGGAAGAUCAAGUCUACAUGAUGGGAACAAACAUUGACAUCAUGGUGACAGCGUUAUGCGCCGGAGUACAAGACAACUCGGUGUUGGUACAAAGGAGCGCUCUAGAUUUGCUACUGGUAGGUUUUCCCGUACACAACAGCCAACUAUCGAGAAAUGAUAUGGUGCACAUACUCACGGCUGCUCUGACGACGAUACUGCGACGUGACAUGAGUUUAAAUAGACGGCUGUUCGCAUGGCUUCUUGGCACCGAAGUAAACACGUCAAUUCUGAAGAAAAAAGCCAACCGGGCGGCAACCGAGAGCGCUGCUGCCUAUUUCGAAAUUUAUUCCAAGGACAUGCUGAUUGAGGCGAUAAAGUCAACGCUGAAAACCGUUUGCGAGGAAAGCCCACAGGAUUUGAGGCCGUACCGCAUAUUGAUCUCGCUUCUCGAUAAACCCGACAUCGGACCUGUUAUUCUCGAUGAUAUUCUUUAUGAAGUUUUCAGAACGUUUUACAACGCGGUAACAGGUAAAAAUGCAAAAUCAACCGAGGUGAUUAAAUCCGUGAAUUUAUUAUUCUCGACGCUAGAGCCACAGUACGUAUGGAUUCACUGUGGUUAUCUCUUUGAAAAAGCAUGCGAAAGUGACAAUAAUAGUCGAUCGCGGUAUCAACGAAAUUUGAAUCUUCAAGAGCCACUCGUGAAAAUCGUCGGUAGUGGUAUGCCCGAAUUGGGUGAAGUAUGCGCUUUAACAGAAUUUUUGUUGGAGACUGUUUCGUUGGAUGGCUUCAUCGACACUCCAUCUGAGCAUUUACCCAGUUUGUUUCACAAAAUUAUCGAUAAAUUGUCCGGCCGUAUCGAUUGUCUCUCACCAACGGAAAUAACCCAGAGCUUGAAAUUAUGCGGCAAGAUACUGGCGAAAGUGCAACCGGCCGUAUCUGCAAGCUCCAAUCUAGAGAAAACAGAUGGCGAAUCUAAAACAGAUAUUAACGGUACCGUCACCUCUGCUGAUAGUGGAUUGGUUGCUAUUCCAUUGGAGAAAAGUCAAUCUGAUAGUAAACUUAACAAGCCAACCGAAUCGGCAAACCAUUUAUUUUCAGAGCGGAGUCCUAGUCCACGUAGAAGAGCAAACUCAAACGGCGCUCCAAAGAAGAAUGACAAAAAGUCAAAAAAAAAAUCCAGCAAAAGUACAUCCAAACUGUCAGACGCCUAUACAAUUUCAGCGGACAAUGGAAAUAUUUCCGUUGUAGUCAGUGAGGAUGCUAAAUCCAUCAACCGAAAUAAAAGCAUGGAGGAUCUAAAAUCAUCGAAUUAUCACAGUUUGAGCGUAGAUUCGAAAAAUUUCGAAUCAUCAAUGACCUCGCUAAAUUCACAAAGUAGAGGUCCAUCGCCAGCUCAGCAAAUACAGCAUUCGAUGCUCGAAAAGUGCCUACGAUUAUACGAACAGUUCUACGUUAAAUUAGUCGAAAAACGUAUUUUGGAUAGGGAAAGAUUGGUGAAUGAGUUGUUUGAGGAUUUAAGAGUAUCGUCGAGCAAGGAUAGUUUCGACGAACGCACAAAACACUUGGAAAGAUUGUUGAAGUCUAAACUGGAUUUGGAGGACUCGGGAUUCUUCAAUCAAGAGCUGUCAUCGCCUGGCGAUAAAGUGUUAGAUAUUCUGCAUCUAUACGUCGAGUCGAUCGAUCAGUCCGAUUGGGAGGAAGUGCUAAAAGUAGCCUCGAGUCUAUUGGUUGAAUUAUCCACUUUCCCGACAUACUUUUUGCCGGGUGACGGUGGCCUUUUCGAGGAAGAAGAACCACGCGGUAAAGUUAUCUUACCCGAAUGGCUUAAGGUUCUAAUUGUUUGCGCUUGCUGGCUGGGUAAACAACCGUCUCUGCAGCUCACUAGCAUCGCCACGUUUUUGGACUUAGUUGCAUUAUCGAAAGCUCACAGUGACUCGGCACAUCAAUCUUCACAUGGCGAGGGCAUCACAACGGUUGUCAUUGUCCCGUUAUUGAAGCAGUGGCACGUGUCGUUUUUGAGGAAUUACACCAAUGUUUUUCAAAUUCUUGCGCACUCGCUAUGGCAUCAUCUAGGCGAACUUCCUGUGCAUAAGUAUAGGAUAAAGUGCGUGGAGCUUUUACACGAGUUGCAUCACGCGCUACAUGAUUCUUGCGACGCGGUCGAGGACGUCAUUGGUUCGGCUCUCAUGCAUGAGAGUAUGGAAAAGAGAAUCGAGGCGUGCAAUAGAUUCUCGACACUGUGGCACUUAGGUCGUGAUAUCGAGGCAAAUCCACGAUUGAGAGGUUUUCUACGAGGUUUCGACAAAUCACUACUCAAGUUGCUGGACAAUCUGCAGUUACCCGACAAUUCACCCUUGAAGCUUCAAUCGCAGUCGUGGUUGUUACACUGCUUAGUGCGCAAUGACAUUUCGCGCAUUGUCAACCCCGUGCUUAUGAUGCUACUUGAUUCAUCGACCUGUCGCAUGAGUGUGCUUCACGUCAGCAUUCAACACAGCAAUAUCGUAUUGACUAAGAGUGACCCUCAGACGCUACAAGAGAAAUCCGAGAAUAUACAGGAUGAGGCAGAGGGCGCGACAAAUAUCUAUGCCAUUAGCUCAGUUGACGGUAAUGUCAUCUAUCAUGUUAGCAACGGACAAGAGGAUCGUGCCGAUGAUAAGAAGUGGCGCAAAGGUAUUUUUAGAAAUAGCGGACGUAAGAAAAAGUCUUUGAUCAAUCCGGUAAAGGUGAAACGUAUUUUUGCUGUGACAACGCUUACCAACGACAAUAAUGGCUCUCAAUACGUAACUGAACGUAAUCAAACAAUGAAAGAACUGGAAGUUCCGCCUAGUAUAUCCGGCAAUAAGAAGAUAUCGGUUUUCGUCAAUCCUCUCUCAAUGAACGGCGGAGACAACUUUGAUUCGCUUCUCGAAGAUGGUUCGAUAAUAUCAAAGAGAAGUAGCACUGGCGCUACUUCGAACGUUGCUGUAGAGGAAGUUUUAAAAUCGGCGAGAAGGUUCAAAAAGCCAGAACUUGCCAGGAGCUCCACGGGUAGUUUGGACGAGAGUCUGUUCGAGUCUGUCAAUUCAACCCUCGCAAAUACGACGAAAGUAAAAGAGAAAAGCGAGGAUAUGAAGAAACUUAAUGGAGACAUUGGAUCUUCAUCACUGGACUCUAUCACAAAUAGUAUAGAGUCUAGUCCUGAAAUAUGGAAUAAGAUACAAAAAUCUAAGAAGGAUAUUGUAAUGAUGCCGAAUAGCGCGAGGGAGAUAGCGGGUACAUUGAUCAAAGGCAAGUACAACGUUGUAAACAGUGAGUUCAACAAUCCUAAUUACGAGGUGAACGAUGCCGUUGGAAGCUUUGAGGCUACAAACGAGAUACCAAGUUGGACGAUGGGCGACGAAGAGAACGAGUUGGAAACGAGUACAACAGCCGAGGAAUAUUUCAGCAACUCGAGCGGUGUGAGUGUCGUUGAAGAGGUGCUGAAUGAUGUAGUAGACAGGGUAAUUGAGAUGUGCGAAGCCAAUCAGCAAAAUAAAAUUAGCGAAGAAUCAAUCCAGCUUGACAGUGGUGGUGUUAAGCGUAAUAGUACCGGUGGCGUGGGUGUACACAACCUCCACUCCCAUAUGCUGCUCUACUGUGGUGUUUAUGAUUCAACUCGCAGUCUUUAUGCACUACGAAUCCUUCGUAAUGAAUUAAUGACCAAUGCACGUAUGUUCCUCUUCGCCGCAGCAACAACUGGUGUUACCAAUAAUCCGCGCAGUGGCCCUUUGCUAAAUUUGCUCGCGCGACACCGAAAAAGUGUUUUUGGUAGAAAUUUUCAUGGCGAUAUUGCCAAUACGGAAUUCUUGGCAGCCUAUAGAAGUAGCAUGUACCUGGAGCUGCUAAUCAGCGUAUGCCUUUAUUUUGCGAGAAGUUACUAUCCGAACUUGGGACAAAUGAGACUAACACAAGAGGAAAUCUCAGGGAAUAGACAGGUUCAAUUAGCAAGCACAGAAUUACUGACACUUAUAUUUUCUGAGCUGAUACCUAUAGUCCGUGAUUCUGGCAAGGGCUUCAGUUGUUAUAUCAUAGAUUUAUUAACGAAAUGCAAAGUCCAGAAAGUUGCUAUUCAUUGCCUCGUUUCAAGCGUUUUAACGAUGAAAAAUGCACAGAAAGAUAGCGACGAGGUUUUCACUUUUACUGAAGAGAUAAUCCAGUUCAAUGAUCCUCUCACGGAAAAUGAUGUUAAUAAAUGUAAAUUUAGAGCUAGCGAUCAUACAGAAGCCUUUCAAAUGCAACUAUUAAGGUUACUAUUAUCAUUAAUAAUGUUGGAGCAUCAAUGUGGAGCACAAAAGAGCGAAGAAGUGGUGUCCACCACACCGACACCGAUAAGCCCAUACAAAAAUGCUCCGAGUUUGACUGGAAACACUUUAAAAUACAUUUCAGGAGCACCGAUCCCGCAACAACCUAUGUUUGUUGCAAGCAUACUUAGUGCUUUGAAACUGGAACAUAUGAGGCACUUGCAUCAGUAUUGGACAACUUUAGUGACAUCUAGUUUACCUUUCAUGGGCUCUUCGUUAACGCAAAUAGUAAUGCCGGUCAUUCACCAACUUUGCCAUAAUAUUGAACAAUUGGCAUCAUAUUACGUUAACGAAGAUGCACUUAUUUCAACUAAGAAAAAUGAAGAUAUUAGUAUGGUUGAAUGUUGCCUACCUGCUGAUUACACAGUUACGCAUUUGGAAGCUUUGACGUUUUUAAUGCACUACUGUUUGCUUGAUUCUUCCCAACAGAUUGUCUUUUCAUUUAAUCAGCCAAACAGUGCUAUACAGACUGGCUUGUCUGGAAAUAAUCCUGGGCAAAUCUUCAACAACCUUAUUCAUGUUUUUAUGCCUACACCUCUUGCUACAGAGUCAAGUAAUCCAAAAGAUAAGAGCUCUGCGAAUGAACAACUAUUAAAUGCUCGAAGAAUGGCUUUAAGUCACUUGCCUAGAAUAAUUGCAUCAUUGUCUGCACUUUGGCAAGCUGUACUCGUCACAAAAGAUAAUGAACAGGCAACCUGUGUAAUUGGUAGUCCUCGCGUAGUAAAACAUCAGUUAUUAGAGCUUCUUUCACCCAUCUCCUUUCACCAUGGUGUGAAUUUCUUAGCUGCAGUUGCUGUAGCAUGGCAUGAAAGGCGACAACCAUCUAGUUCUAAAAAGAUAUUGCCAGAAGCUUGUCUCAAUCAGCAAAUACUGGUGCAAUUAGUCAGUGCAAUCAGAGUCAUGCCAAUAGAUACCUUGGUACAAAUUGUGCAUCAAGUCAUUAAAUCUCCACCGCCAAUUAGUGGCGUGAAGCAAGAUUUCUCAUUGGAAGUAUCCGUUUUGGAGUUAUUGUAUAUCUACAUGCAAAGCAAUACGUCUCAAACACUUGUUGAAUCAUGGGCUUCGCUGUUGGGUUUAUUGAAGGAUGGAUUAUCUUUGACUGCGCCAGCACAAUUUCUUCUAUUGGCCAUACUCAACGAAUACGUACAAAAGUGUCCCCCCAUGCAAGAGAAAAAGGACAUAAGAGACUUGCAAGAUGUUUCAGCAAAGUUAGUUGAAUCGUGUUCUCAAAUAGCUGGAGCGUGUCUCGAGCAAACCACUUGGUUGCGACGAAAUUUAGCAGUACGCGAAGACGUUUUGGACGUGUCGGAAGGUUUAUCCGAUGGCAAAGAAGGAAAGACUGGCAAUGUAACACCAGGUACUCCGCCAAAUUCGGCAUAUAGUGUUCAAGCGCAGACUGUACUAGCGGAAAUUCUGGCACCAUUACUUGAUGUCAGCUAUGGUUCGCAGGAAAAGGAACGAGUUGCUACGCUUUUGACAAAUCUUAUGUACAAUGUUACACCUUAUUUGAAAAACCAUACAACGAAAAAUAUUGCUUCGUUCACUGCCUGCUCGCAACUUCUUAGUUCAAUAUCUGGCUAUCCGUAUACGCGGAAAGCUUGGCGAAAAGAUGUUGUAGAUUUGCUAUUAGACUCAGCAUUUUUCCAAAUGACAGCUGCUUGCUUGCCUUUUUGGAGGACGAUUAUUGACAAUUUGAUGACGCAUGACAAUACUACAUUUAGAGAUUUGUUGACCAAAGUUUCAGUAGCUCAAAGCAGUACCAUAAGUAUAUUCUCAUCGAAAGAGAUAGAAUAUGAGCAGAGAGCGCAACUUUUGAAAAGACUGGCCUUCGUUAUUCUCUGUAGCGAGAUGGAUCAAUAUCACAAAUACAUGCCUGAGAUUCAAGAACGACUUGCUGAAAGUUUACGUUUACCACAAGUCAUUCCUUCAAUUCAAGCGCAAGUGUUUCUUUGCUUCCGAGUACUUUUGCUCCGCGUUUCACCGCAACACGCAACGUCUUUGUGGCCGGUCAUUGUCAGCGAAUUAGUUCAAGUGUUUUUGCACAUUGAGCAAGAACUGUCAACCGACACGGAAGAGUUCAGUCGUCAGAGCAGCUCGCACAUCAAGCUUUUGUCAGCGCUGGAUUCGUCAUGGGCCGUAAACGCCAGCAAUGGUCUUCAAGCGCACGGACAUCCACAUUGGUUGCAACUUCAACUAGCCGCCGCCAAGUUGCUAGAUCUUGCGCUAUUGCUGCCCGCGCAUCGACUACCGCAAUUCCAAAUGUAUCGCUGGGCGUUCGUUGGAGACGCUGCAUCAGGUAUUACGAAGAAUAAUAGUAAUUCUGAUUUCGUGCCACAUAUUACUAGAAUAGCAAGACUUAUGGAUAGUAAAUUCAAAAACGGCGAAUCGCCGUCGUCGCAACCACCAGGCGAACUGUUGCUCACAUCGAGCAACAUACGCUCGCUGCAAGACCUGCAUCACUUCUUCGUGGCAUUGAGUCGUCGCCGCGAGGGUACGUCGACGCAGUCAGAAUCCCAUCUGAACGUUGCCCAGUUAGAAGCGGUGAUCGAGCAAGACUUUCUGGAGAAGAUACCAAGUGUGCCUACCAGAUAGUAGCUUUCGCUGUUAUUCUCGCCAGGGCUGGCGUUCGUCUGAUAAUAAUCAAUUGUCAAUCACGCAUUUAUUAUCGUCAGCUAGUCCUGAAGGUGCAGAUUCUAUUUUGCAGUAAGGUAUGGAUUAGUUUGCUUUCAAGACUGAUUAUAAAGCGUCUCGCUUUUUUUCUAGUUGCUUACGUUGGGAAAUAAGUAACUAAAA